GAACCUCAUUUUGUAACCAUUUUUGCGUGUCGCGUGCUGAGUGCGAUGGUGCUGAGUCCUGUUGGAAUGUCCAAGGUCUGCGGCCAAAAUCCAUACACCCUCCAGAAUAUUUUCGCGAUAAUAUUCGGCAUUUAUUCAGAUGCCAUGGUCGAUUAAUACGAGUGGAGAGCGACCAUCAGCUGUUAUGGCGGCCCACACCAUCACCAAUGCUGGCGCUUGAGUUCUGGUGGUCAACCGAAGGUGCUGAUCACUUUGGCAAGUAAACAUGAUCAUAUUGUUUGUUUACAAACUGCUAGACAACGAAUGUUUUCUCAUCGGAGAAAACCAAAUUCGGCAGUACACCACUUUCGGCUUUAGCUCUAUUUUCUUUCUGUUGCGGUGUAAGUUCUUGCGCUUUUUGGAAUUACAAUGGCUUUACCCCGAGCUCAUUUUUCAAUAUUUGCCGAAUGCAAUAUUGCGAUAUGUUCAGCUCACGAGCCAUUUCUCGGCCACUUCUUUACUUUUCGAACCAUUUCUGCUGAUGUUGCUGUUCUUCCGUCCACUUCCUUGACGUCGGGGUACGCCACCAGUUUCAAGGUAACGAGCGAUGGUACGAGACACAAAAGAUUUAUUCACAUUUAAAUGCUGGAGUGCUCUAACGAUAGCCACUUGUUGUUUUCCAUUUCUGGAAAAUUCUCAACAAAAUGCUUUUGUACGCUUGUAAACAAUAUAAUGUGCUGUCACUGGAAUAAUUUUAACAGCUGUUGGUGGCGUGGCUUAGAAAUUACAGGAGUCUUAAGUUGGUUGCAGUUUUUUCAUCUCACCCUGUAUAUUUAU